AGAAAAGAAAAAGUUAGUUGGGGGAGAAGAAAGAAAAUCCAAGAAAGUAAAUUAGGAGGGUCUUGAAGGCUGAAUAAGAAAAGAGCAAGUGCUAGUCCUGGCCUCCCUGGGUGCAGCCUGACUCAGCCCCCCAGUCUCCCGAGGCCAUUCCCCCAGGCCUCACUAAGGCAGCAGCACAGCAGGCUUGACUUCAUGCUUGGCACCAAAGCUGGUGGUGAGACCAUUCUAAAAAGCCUCCAGUCCAUUUUCCAGAGUUGGGGGAUGGCGGAGUCGGUGCACACCUGGAAGGACCAUGGCUAUUUAGCAACCUGCACAAACAAGAACGGCAGCUUUGCCAAUUUGAGAAUUUACCUACAUGGAUUGUGUUGCUGGACCUUCAGAGUUACGACGGUGACACACAAGGCAAAGAAGAGAUCGACAGUAUUUUGAACAAAGUAGAAGAAAGAAUGAAAGAAUUGAGUCAGGACAGUACUAGGCGGAUAAAGCGAUUACCACCCAUAGUUGGAGGAGGAGCCAUCAACAGAUAUUGGCCCAUUGCCGAUGGGCGCCUGGUUGAAUACAACAUAGAUUGAGGUGGUAUAUGAUGAAAAUUCAUCUUAUCAAAAUAUAAAAAUUCUAUACUCGAAGCAGUUUGCAAAUAUUCUCAUCCUGAGUGGGGAUGUUAAUUUACCAGAGAGUGAUUUGUUGUAUACCUGGGCCAUCAUGGGCAGUGGCAAAGAAGAUUACACUGGCAAAGAUGUACUCAUUCUGGGAGACAAAUGCGGGGGCAUAUUGUGUGAAAUAGUCAAACUAAAACCAAAGAUGGUCACUAUGGUAGAGCUUGACCAAAUGAUGAUCAAUGGAUAUAAGAAGUAUAUGUGAAAAACGUGUGGCGAUGUCUUAGACAAUCUUAAAGGAGGCUGCUAUCAGGUUCUAAUAGAAGACUGUAUUCCGGUACUGAAGAAGUACGCCAAAGAAGGGAGAUAAUCUUAUUAUGUGAUUAAUGAUUUGACAGCUGUUCCAAUCUCCAUGUCUCCAGAAAAUUCCACAUGGGAUUUUCUCAGACUGAUUCUUGACCUCUCAAUGAAAGUAUUGAAACAGGAUGGGAAGUACUUUACACAGGGGAAAUGUGUCAAUCUGACAGAAGCGCUGUCACUCUAUGAAGAACAGCUGGGGCGCCUGUAUUGUCCUGUGGAAUUCUCAAAGGAGAUCGUCUGAGUCCCUUCGUACUUGGAAUUGUGGGUAUUUUACACUCUUUGGAAGAAAGCUAAACCUUGAAGAUGAAUAGCCCCUAAAUCACAUGUGCUGCAAAUGGCCUUCCUGACUGCCAUAUGUUGUACAUGACAUCAAAAUGAGUCAGGUAAUUGAUUGUGAAUUCCUCAAAGUUUUCCUUUUUUUAAUUAUUAUUUUUAAUUUAAAAAAGCAAAUGGGAAAUCUGUAUUUUGAUGAGCUUAGGGUGUUAUUUUUUUGAAAGUCAGCUGAAGGAUGGUUAGACAGCACAGCGAAGACUGCUAAAUGCACUGACCCCUCCCGGAAUGUGAUUUUUGUUCCUUUUUAUUUCUCUGUGGGCUUUUGUUUUUGUUUUGGUAGAUCUUCAGUUUAGAUGUUUGGAGGAAUGAACAUCGUUGUUUUGUGCUGAAGGAAAGAUCUUGAUGAUGUUUCUUUCCCCAAAAGUUGACUUAGAUAUUAAAAUUUGGUGCUUUCAAGAGAAAGUUAAAAAAAUGAGUAAGAAUUGCUUCAAUUAAAAUUACAAAAGAGAAAAAGAAAAAAAGAAAAAAACAAGUGUG